rnacentral:tRNA from 1 species
GGAGAGGUGACAGAGCGGCCGAUUGUGCUGGUCUCGAAAACCAGUGUGGGGGAAACUCCACCGAGGGUUCGAAUCCCUCCCUCUCCG